CGCAUGCCCGAAAGGGUGACAGUGCGACGCCGCGUGAACGAUGAAGGCCUUCGGGUUGUAAAGUUCUGUCAGCAGGGAUGAAUGUUCAGGAAUUAAUACCCCCUGAACUUGACGGUACCUGCAGAGGAAGCUCCGGCUAACUCCGUGCCAGCAGCCGCGGUAAUACGGAGGGAGCAAGCGUUGUUCGGAUUUACUGGGUGUAAAGGUCAUGUAGGCGUCUUAUUAAGUCGGAUGUGAAAUCCCUUGGCUCAACCAAGGAACUGCAUUCGAUACUGGUAAGAUUGAGUACGAGAGAGGUAAGCGGAAUUCCGGAAGUAAGGGUGAAAUCUGUAGAUAUCCGGAAGAACACCAUUAGCGAAGGCGGCUUACUGGCUCGAUACUGACGCUGAAAUGAGAAAGCUAGGGGAGCAAACAGGAUUAGAUACCCUGGUAGUCCUAGCUGUAAACGAUGGGCACUAAGUAGAGGGG
rnacentral:rRNA from 1 species